rnacentral:rRNA from 1 species
ACUCCUACGGGAGGCAGCAGUUGGGAAUAUUGGACAACGGAGGAAACUCUGAUCCAGUGACGCCGCGUGAAGGAAGAAGGUCUUCGGAUGGUAAACAUAUUCUAUCAGCGAAGAAGAAAAUGACAGACC